UGGGGAAUUUUGGACAAUGGGCGCAAGCCUGAUCCAGCCAUGCCGCGUGCGGGAAGAAGGCCUUCGGGUUGUAAACCGCUUUUGUCAGGGAAGAAAUCUUCUGAGUUAAUACCUCGGGAGGAUGACGGUACCUGAAGAAUAAGCACCGGCUAACUACGUGCCAGCAGCCGCGGUAAUACGUAGGGUGCAAGCGUUAAUCGGAAUUACUGGGCGUAAAGCGUGCGCAGGCGGUUUUGUAAGACAGAGGUGAAAUCCCCGGGCUCAACCUGGGAACUGCCUUUGUGACUGCAAGGCUUGAGUGCGGCAGAGGGGGAUGGAAUUCCGCGUGUAGCAGUGAAAUGCGUAGAUAUGCGGAGGAACACCGAUGGCGAAGGCAAUCCCCUGGGCCUGCACUGACGCUCAUGCACGAAAGCGUGGGGAGCAAACAGGAUUAGAUACCCUGGUAGUCCACGCCCUAAAACCGAUGUCAACUGGUUGUUGGGAAGGUUCCUUCUCAGUAACGUAGCUAACGCGUGAAGUUGACCGCCUGGGGAGUACGGCCGCAAGGUUG
rnacentral:rRNA from 1 species